CCUACGGGAGGCAGCAGUGAGGAAUAUUGCUCAAUGGGCGCGACCCUGAACCAGCCACGUCGCGUGAAGGAUGACUGCCCUCCGGGUUGUAAACUUCUUUUAUAAAGGAAUAAAGUGAGGCACGUGUGCCUUUUUGCUUGUACUUUAUGAAUAAGGAUCGCCUAACUACGUGCCAGCAGCCGCGGUAAUACGGAGGAGCCGAGCGUUAUCCGGAUUUAUUGGGUUUAAAGGGAGCGUAGAUGGGUUGUUAAGUCAGUUGUGAAAGUUUGCGGCUCAACCGUAAAAUUGCAAUUGAUACUGGCAGUCUGGAGUACAGUAGAGGUAGGCGGAAUUCGUGGUGUAGCGGUGAAAUGCUUAGAUAUCACGAAGAACUCCGAUUGCGAAGGCAGCUUACUAAACUGCAACUGACAUUGAUGCUCGAAAGUGUGGGUAUCAAACAGGAUUAGAUACCCCAGUAGUC
rnacentral:rRNA from 1 species